AGGACGAACGCUGGCGGCGUGCUUAACACAUGCAAGUCGAGCGGAAAGGCCCUUCGGGGUACUCGAGCGGCGAACGGGUGAGUAACACGUGAGCAACCUGCCCCUGGCUCUGGGAUAGCCUCCGGAAACGGGGAUUAAUACCGGACAUGACCUGCUGCCGCAUGGUGGCGGGUGGAAAGUUUUUCGGCCAGGGUGGGGCUCGCGGCCUAUCAGCUUGGUUGGGGGGGUGACGGCCCACCAAGGCGACGACGGGUAGCCGGCCUGAGAGGGCGACCGGCCACACUGGGACUGAGACACGGCCCAGACUCCUACGGGAGGCAGCAGUGGGGAAUAUUGCGCAAUGGGCGGAAGCCUGACGCAGCGACGCCGCGUGCGGGAUGGAAGGCCUUCGGGUUGUAAACCGCUUUCACCAGGGGCGAAGCGAGAGUGACGGUACCUGGGGAAGAAGCGCCGGCUAACGUACGUGCCAGCAGCCGC
rnacentral:rRNA from 1 species